ACGCUCGACACCUACGGGAGCAGCAGUGGGGAAUAUUGCACAAUGGGGGAAACCCUGAUGCAGCGACGCCGCGUGAGCGAAGAAGUAUUUCGGUAUGUAAAGCUCUAUCAGCAGGGAAGAAAGUGACGGUACCUGACUAAGAAGCACCGGCUAAAUACGUGCCAGCAGCNGAGUAUGNGNGGCGNGNGAGAG
rnacentral:rRNA from 1 species